CCGCAUCCCACCACCAUCGCCACCACAUCCCACAUCCCACAGCCCCUCUUCGCCGUCCCACAGCCCCUCUUCGUCGUCGUCGAGCUCCCCUCCUCGUUGGUCGUCGUCGAGCUCGCCUCCUCCAUCGUCGUCGCCGAGCUCGCCUCUUCCUUCGUUGCCGUUACUCGCCGCCGAUCUAUUAUAUUCUU